UACGGGGGGGGCAAGCGUUGUUCGGAAUUACUGGGCGUAAAGGGCUCGUAGGUGGCCAACUAAGUCAGGAGUGAAAUCCCUCGGCUUAACCGGGGAACUGCGUCUGAUACUGGAUGGCUUGAGUUCGGGAGAGGGAUGCGGAAUUCCAGGUGUAGCGGUGAAAUGCGUAGAUAUCUGGAGGAACACCGGUGGCGAAGGCGGCAUCCUGGACCGACACUGACACUGAGGAGCGAAAGCCAGGGAGCAAACGGG
rnacentral:rRNA from 1 species